rnacentral:lncRNA from 1 species
AUCAGCCUCCAGUCACUUCAAACAUGACUCGAUCAAACCGGACCUCCAGCUAUUUCGAACGCGACUCAGUCCAAUUUGACCUCUGCUAUUUCGAACGUGACUUGGCCCAACCUAAACCAUAAACUAGCCUCAUGCCAUUUCGGUCCAACCCGAUCUCCUAUCAUUUCGAUCGUGAUUCGGCGCAACCUGAUUUCCGGCCAUAGGGUAGGAUGUUGACUUCUUUAAGCAAAUAUCGCUACUAGAAAAUUAGUCUUUAGUGGCUUUUAUUUAUGCGCUAAAAGAUCAACGAAUGCCGCUAAAAGUUUUAGUAGCAUAUGACAUUAAAUGUUGUCUAUGCCAAUGUUGCUAAAAGUAUUAGCAUCAUUUAUAAUGAAUGCCGCCAAUGUAAAUCAAUUGGUGUCAUUACGAACAAGCCGCUAAAAGGGCUAUUAAAUGCUAAUUUUAGGUUGUUUAUUAGUGGCAUAUAAAUAUAAUGCCGUUAAAACAAAUACCUGAUUUUAGGGACUCAAAUUUUAAAAUUUUAAUUUUAUUGUAAAUACAAUUUUUAAAUUUAUAUUUAUAUUUAUAUUUGAAUUUUUGGGUAGCAUGCUACCCGCUUCAUUUAUUUCUUUUAGAAUAAACUUAUCUGGAAAUAUGAAUCAACUAGGAUUUGAACUUGGGACUCGGGUACCAACCAACAAACCCUUUGCAACUUGUGCUAGGAACAAUUAGUUAUAUAUAUAUAUCUAAAUUUUUAAAAUUUUAAAAUUUAAGUUUUUAAUUUUGAAAUUUUAAAAUUUUAAAUUCUAAAUUCUAAAUUUAUAUACUAAAUUUAAAUUUUUAAUUUUAAAAUAUCAAAUUAUAAGUUUAAAAAUUUAUAGCUUUAAAUUUGAAAUUUGAAAUUUAAAAUAGAGCUAAAAAAUAUAAAAAUUUAAAAAUUUAAAAUUUAAAAGUAAAAUUUUAGAAUUUAAAAUAAAAAAUAUGAUAUUUUAAAAAUUUUAAAUUAUAAGUUUUAAAUUUUUAAACUUUAAUUUUAAAAUUUUUAAUUGUAAGUAUAAAAUGGGAUAUUUACUAAUUGUAUAUUGAUUAGUGACGACAUUUAGCAAUAAGUGCUGCUAGUUUGUUACAUUUAGAGCCAUUUUUCAUAAAAUAUUGAAAACAUCAGCGGCGUUCACUAAUUUAUGAAGUUAAUUUAUCCUAUUUUGUAACAUUAAUAGUAAAUUGCUGCUAAAUUUUUAAAUUUAACGAUAAUUAUCAAGUAAUACUAUUAAAUAUAUUAAUUAGAAUGAUUUAAAUAAAUAUCACAGAGUAAAUGUCGUGGCAUUUAAUAAUAAGCACUGCUACUUUGUUAUAUUUAGUAUCAUUUCUUAUAAAAUGUUAGAAAUUUCAGAGGCAUUCACUAAUUUACGCUGCUAAUUUAUUCUAUUUUAUAAUAUUAAUAAUAAAUUGCUACUAAAUUAUUAAAUAUAGUGAUAAUUAUCAAAUAAUGCUGUUGAAUAUAUUAAUUAGCAUGAUUUAAAUAAAUAUUGUGAAGUAAAUGCUGGUAAAUUACGAAUUUAUUGUAAUGCAUAUAUAUUGUAGAAAUAAUUGACAAUUAUAAGAACUAGUCAAAGAUUUGAAGUUUGAAUUUCUUUUCUUUUUAUUAGACAAAUAAUAAUAACGUGAUAAAAAUUUUGCUAUCUUUCCGAGCCCUCUUAUUAGAAAAUGUUGGCUUUGUUCUUAACCGUAAACUUAAAGAACGGCUUUGAGGAUGUUGAAUUGGUUUUGAUACACUUUAAAGUGAGAAAGUGCGAAACUAUAGAAUACUAAAUUUAUAUAUUUUAAAUUAUAUGAUAUUAAAGUAAAAAAGUGUGAAACUACAAGCGGAUAUUUAAAGUUUUCUCUAAUAUAUAUUAUGCUAACUAUUGCACAGUUUGAAAUCGAUAUUUAGCUUUUCAAAAUAUUUUACUUUCACAAAGAAAUUUAUUUUACUUUUAGAAAAUUU